GGAAAACAAUAGUGAAGAAGAAGAAAAAUUUUGAAUAAACACUUCAUGAAAGAAGAUGUAAAAUAGACAAAGCUCUGCGGCUCUGGAAGAUGGCCACUACAUGGCAGGAGCGAGCCUCAGCCCCUCAGUGACACAGUGGAACAGAGCUGUCUGUCCCAAGACAUCAGUUUGGCUGCUCACUGGAACCAUGGGUGUGAUCCAUUUGGAAAUCCUUAGGAUCAGGUAUUGCACUGGAUCUUAAUGCUCCUCAUUCAGCUUAGCAACCUGUCUGCUAAAUUUCAUUGGAAAUGUAGCAAGCUCACUGAGUUCCAUUGCAAAAACCAGCAGUAUGCAUGCAUGGUAAGCCGCUUCAGUCAUGUCUGACUCUUUGUGACCCCACAUACUGU